rnacentral:lncRNA from 1 species
GUGAUCAGGAACAGAAAUUACAGGAAGAGAAUAGAGAACAGAGCGCGGAGACUGCAGAUAUAUCAGCGCCGUUCGCGCAGAAAUAGAGGGAUUGACCUCAGUGUUCCAAUACUUUUGAAGGUCAGUGAUGGAGUUCUGCAGAUCUGCUCUCUGGGUCCUGAUCUUAUUGAUCAUCAGUUCUGGAUCUGAAUCAGCUGCUCCUGUAGUGAAGGUGGAGUAUAAUGGUACGGCUGUUCUGCCCUGUAUUGAGAGAUGUUCUGGAGUGGCCAGCUGGACUCUCACUCAUAAAUCCACUGAUAUUCUGGCUGAGUGUGAUCAGACUUCCUGCAGAUCAGUGAAGGAGGGAUAUCAGAUGAUCCAUGAUAAAUACCUGAAGGGAGAUUUCUCUCUGAUCAUCACUGAAGCUGAUUACAGUAAGAAAGGACAUUACACCUGUGACUGUGAUGAUACAGAUAAGUGUGAUGCAGAGCUUCAGAUUGAGGCUCUGAGGACUUCAGUUCAGAUAAAGCCUGGUGAUACUCUGGUGAUGGAUGUGGACGAAUCAGUUCCAGUGGAAGUGAUUUAUCAAUGUACAAGAGAAGCUGGAACAUCCAAUGUUCAGAUCUGUAGAGUGAUUGGAAAAUUACUGCAGCCUAGUGCUGAAUACACUAACAGAACAUCACUGUCAUCAUCUACUCUGGAGCUGAGAGGAGUGAACGUGUCUGAUAGUGGAGAUUACAUCAUCCGAGACAUCAGGAAUAAAGAGGAUCUUCAUAUCUACACAGUGGAAGUUACAGAUGAUUCUAAACAUCCUCAGAUUCAGGAGAAAGAGGAAACACCUAUAUCAGAUGCUCAAGAGAGUAUGAAGAUUGUGUCUCUGGUGGUGUUUAGUGUAGGAGCUCUGAUUGUGGCAGUAGUGGGGGUGGUUCUGCUGUUCAAGAAAAACAUGUUGUGUUUCAAGAAGUCAGCCAAGUUAUCUACCUUCACCUACAAAGUAGAUUCCUGUAAUGAACAGAACAUCUACAGUCCAGAGAAAUCACCACUCAAUCACCAGCAGGUCUAAGAUCACAAUCAUCCCCCUGUUCUCCAGUGUGAGUGUGUGUGUGUGUGUGUGUGUUUGUGUGUGUCUGAGUGUGUGUCUGUGUAAAUGUGUGUGUGUAUCUGUGUGUAUCUCUGUGUAAAGGUGUGUUAGCGUGAGUUUUAGGGGUUGUGUGUGUGUCCCCGUGUACAUUUUUUGUGUUAGUGUGUGUGUGUGUGUGUAUGUGGGUGUUUUAGUGUGUGUGUGUUUGUGUGUGUGUGUGUGUGUGUGUGCUGUUAUUUUACUGAGCUUUAUUGUAGAUCAGUUAUAUCUGCAGCUCUUUUCUGUUCUUACUGAGUUCCAGUGGGUACAGAAAGUACUCAGAACCCUUUAAAUGUUUCAUUGCAGCCGUUUGCUAAAAUCCAAAAGUUAAUUUUAUUUCUCAUUAAUGUACACUCAGCACCUCAUUCUGACAGAAAAAAAACAGAAAUGUAGAAAUGUAUUUCUUAAAAAAACAUCUUAAAAUAAGUAAAAUAAGUAUUCAGACCAUUUGUUCAGUAUUAAGUAGAAGCACUCUUUUAAGCCAUGAGUCCUCUUGGGACUGAUGCAAAAAGUUUUUCACACCUGGAUUUGGGGAUCUGAUCUGCUGCCAUUCCUCCUUGCAGAUUCUCUCCAGUUCUGUCCGGUUGAAUGAACGUUGGUGGACAGAUAUUUUCAUGUCUUUUAUCCAAAGAUGCUGAGUUGGGUUUAGGUCUGGGCUCUGGCUGGGCCAGUCAGGAAUGGUCACUGAGUUGUUCUGAAGCCACUUUGUUAUUUUAGUUGUGCUUUGGUUCAUCAUCUUGUUGGAAGCUGAAACUUCAGCCCAGUCUGAGGUCCAGAGCAGAAUAUUUCUGUACACGGCCGCAUUUAUCUUUCCUUCAAAUGCAACCAGUCGUCCUGUCCCUGCUGCUGAAAAGCACCCCAUAGCAUGAUGCUGCCACCAUCAUGUUUCACAGUUGGGAUUGUAUUGUAUUACUUUCUCCACACUUACUUAGAAUUAACACCAAAAAUAAUUCAAUCUUCGUCUCAUCAGACCAGAGAAUCAUAUUUCUCAUUCUCUUGGAGUCCUUCAUGUGUUUUAUCAUAUGUCCUGCACUGAGGAGUCUAGGAAGAGUUCUGGUUGUCUCAAACUUUUUCAUUUAAGGAUUAUGGAGCCACUGUGCUCUCAGGAACCUCGAGUUCUGCAGAAACUCUUCUGUAACCUUGGUCAGAUCUGUUCCUCACCACAGUUCUGUCUCUGAGAUUAUUAGGCAGUUCCUUCCUUCAAACUCAUUAGUCUGAUUGGCUCUGAGCUGCACUGUGAGCUCUUAUAUAGACAGGUGUGUUCCUGAACUAAUCAGGUCCAUUCACUUUAAUCAAUAAACACAGCUGGACUCCAAUGAAGGAGUAGAAC